rnacentral:tRNA from 1 species
GGAGAGAUGGCUCAGCGGUUAAGAGCACUGGUCACACUUCCAGAGGACCUGGGGUCAAUUCCCAGUACCUACG